rnacentral:SRP_RNA from 1 species
UCUAGGUCAAGUGUGGUUGCACCACACCAGCUAAUGCUGGUGGAUUCCUUGAGCUCAGAAGCUCUGAACUAAAGAAGAGCUAAAGCUCAUUGAGUAUCUACACUAAGUUCUGUACUAAUAUGGUGAGCCUCUGGGAGCAAAGGAUCACCAGAUUGCUUAAGGUGGGGUGAACUGAUCCAGGUCAGAAAAAAGGGGGGGGGGCAGGUUAAAGCUUCUGUGUUAGUAAGAUCAGGGUGAGACCCUUGAGUGGCUGCUGUACUUCCAGUCUGCAUGAGAUAGGGAGACCCACGUUC